AACUCAUCCAGAGCGGUGGAGGGACCGGCCCGACGAUACCGCGCCAACCACUAGGUAUGGUGAACAUUUCGCCAUGAGCGAAUGACAUUCACUCCCUACGUAUGGUGGCAAUUCCGGCAGUGCAAUCUGGAAGAUGAGAG
rnacentral:ncRNA from 2 species